rnacentral:rRNA from 1 species
GUUCGGAAUUACUGGGCGUAAAGCGCGCGUAGGCGGACCAGAAAGUUGGGGGUGGAAAUACCCGGGGCUCAACCCCGGAACCUGCCUCCAAAACUACCUGGUCUAGAGUUCGAGAGAGGUGAGUGGAAUUCCGAGUGUAGAGGUGAAAUUCGUAGAUAUUCGGAGGAACACCAGUGGCGAAGGCGGCUCACUGGCUCGAUACUGACGCUGAGGUGCGAAAGUGUGGGGAGCAAACAGGAUUAGAUACCCUGGUAG